GAAACGAGGAGGGAGCUGGGGGCCAGUGAAAUGGUCAACAGAUGAGGUCAUAGUUGAAACUGGACAGAAAGGGAGGGAAAGUAAUUUUGCCAAAGAGGUCAGUAAGAAGUCAGAAGUCAUUGAGUUCAGGAUGGGUCAGUAUCCAGGAAUGGGGGAGGAAGAUAAGAAGAGGCUGGACGGAUAUGAAGCAUGAAUCAAGAAAAGUGAAAAAGGAGGGAAAUGAAGGCAAAGCUAAAAGCUACUAACAGAAUGAGUUCACCCAUGCCCAAUUUAAUUCACGUGAUUUAAAAAAGCAUUUGCUACAAGUAGCUUGGCAUAGUGAAGAGAGAGCUGGUCUCCGAGGUCAGGAAGACCAGAUUCAAGGACUGCCAAAUCCACAUACCUGGGAGCCUGGGGAAGGCACAUAUCUUCUCAAUGUCUUAGACAUCUCUAAGAGCAUGAGUGGCAGAAUUAAGGGCUGGUCUGCAAUGCUAGAGGGAGAUUCUUACUGGGUGACUGACUGCUGCCUAUACCAAUCAAAUCAUGCAUGUCUGGUCAAAAAUGAAAAGGCAUUUGUUAAACAUCUACUGCAUGCUAGAUGCUAAGAAUACAAAAACAAAUGAAACAGCCUCUGCCCAUGAAAAGCUUAGAUUCUGCUGGGGAGGAGGGGGAGAAAGGGAGAAAAUAUACACAGUGUGCCCCAAUCCAUCUGGGGUUCCAGCAGAGGUGUUUCCAUCCUCCCUCACUACCCUUAUGAGGCUGGCUUGCUUUACUUUCUCUCUGAUAACUGCCUUGUCUUGCAUGAGCCUGUUAUCCCUUGGGAUUCAUUUGGAACCUUGCUCAACCUUUAUUGACCAAAUGCUCAAGCAAAACGAGAUUGGAAAUAGCCAUUCCUCUGAAUUGCUAGUCUCUGACCUGUGCUCAGGAAAUAAAGCAGAAAGGCAGAAGAACAGAACAGUCAUCAAAGAAUUGGGUCUACUGAGGCAAAUAACUAUUGCUGCUGCCUGGUACUUUUGGCACUGCUUUGAUUGGGGUAAUGGGAUGGGAAAGGAAGAGAAAUCCCCUCUUCCCACUCCACCCUGCUGGCAGACCAAGGGAAAGAGAGUGGGAUCCCCAAAGAAAGACAGUUAUUUACCUAACUCUUCUUAUGGAAUGCAUGGGGAAAGGAGAAGGAGGAAGGUUCUUUCACAAGAGCUGAUAAUUAAUUAGCUUCAACAAAACUCUCCCCUGGGCACAAGGACUCAUGGGGACUAAUCAAGAGUUGUGUGUGUCCCAAUGGAAUGGAAUGGACUUCUCUACUAGCAGCAAUGCAAUGAUCCAGGACAAUUCUGAGGGACUUAUGGGACAGAACACUAUCCACAUCCAGAGGAAGAACUGUGGGAGUAGAAACACAGAAGAAAAACAACUGCUUGAUCAUAUGGCUCGAUUGGGACAUGAUUGGGGAUGUAGACUCUAAACGAUCACUGUAGUGCAAAUAUCAAUAAUAUGGAAAUAGGUCUAGAUCAAUGACACAUGUAAAACCUAGUGGAAUUGCUAAUUGGCUAUGGGAAGGGGGUGGGAGGAAAGAACAUGAAUCAUGUAACCAUGGGAAAAUAUUCUAAAUUAAUUAAUUAAAUAAAAAAUUUCAAAUUAAAAAAAAG
rnacentral:lncRNA from 1 species